rnacentral:rRNA from 1 species
GACGAACGCUGGCGGCGUGCCUAAUACAUGCAAGUUGAGCGCUGAAGGUUGGUACUUGUACCAACUGGAUGAGCAGCGAACGGGUGAGUAACGCGUGGGGAAUCUGCCUUUGAGCGGGGGACAACAUUUGGAGACGAAUGCUAAUACCGCAUAAAAACUUUAAACACAAGUUUUAAGUUUGAAAGAUGCAAUUGCAUCACUCAAAGAUGAUCCCGCGUUGUAUUAGCUAGUUGGUGAGGUAAAGGCUCACCAAGGCGAUGAUACAUAGCCGACCUGAGAGGGUGAUCGGCCACAUUGGGACUGGGAAACGGCCCAAACUCCUACGGGAGGCAGCAGUAGGGAAUCUUCGGCAAUGGACGAAAGUCUGACCGAGCAACGCCGCGUGAGUGAAGAAGGUUUUCGGAUCGUAAAACUCUGUUGGUAGAGAAGAACGUUGGUGAGAGUGGAAAGCUCAUCAAGUGACGGUAACUACCCAGAAAGGGACGGCUAACUACGUG